UGGGAGCUGAUAUCUUCUGUGAGCCCAGUGCUGAUCUGCACUGUAGAAAUAUUUGUCAGGGAUCCUGGGCAGCUUUGGCAUCAUCAUGCACACUCCAGCGACAAUCAGCAUCCCAGGAUUCUACCAGCCCUAUCCUAUUACCUCAAGAUGGCCCAGGCUUGAUUUCUUGCCAACCAACAUGGUGGUGGCUCAUGACCAUCUGUAAUUCUAGGGGAGUUUGAGACUGUUCCAG